UUAGAGAAUACCAGGCUGGACAGAGAUCACCAUAAGAGGUUACCAAGAACUGCCUUGGGGCUGGUUUUAUUCACUAGCCCUGCUACCAGUGGCAAAGGAAUUGAAGCAUCUGCUGAAAUUUGCUGCUGACAAAAAGCACAGAGGCACCUCUGAUGCACCAAGUGACCAAAAGACUGGGUGAAGGAACCACAUGAACAGAAGCGGUGAGAUGAAUUGCAGCUCUCAAGUCCCAAAGGCAAGGCCAGCAACCCGAGGAGCAUGGCAAGCACAAGUUUUGCUGUGAGCAGCUGGCAGCAACCAAGGAAGGGAAGUUCUGCGUGAUGGAGCCUCAUGACACUGUAAUCUUUCCAGAGCUAUUAAAAAGAGGAACUCCAAUCUCCAUGAUCCAACAGGUAUUUUCUUUUUAAUUCAGUUUCCCUUUGAUCUAAUAUAAUGCAUAAUUAAAUUGCAUGGUCUGAAUUAAAACUCCACCAUUAGGUGCAUCCUUUUAGCUUGUUCUUUCCUGUGGUUUUGUAAAGACAGUACACAAUAAUAUUUGCAGUGAGCACAAUGAAAA
rnacentral:lncRNA from 1 species